GAUCAUGGCUCAGAGUGAACGCUGGCGGCAGGCCUAAUACAUGCAAGUCGAACGGCAGCACAGCAGAGCUUGCUCUGUGGGUGGCGAGUGGCGGACGGGUGAGGAAUACGUGGGAAUCUGCCCAGUCGUGGGGGAUAACGUAGGGAAACUUACGCUAAUACCGCAUGCGCCCUUCGGGGGAAAGCCGGGGACCUUCGGGCCUGGCGCGAUUGGAUGAGCCCACGUCGGAUUAGCUAGUUGGCGGGGUAAAGGCCCACCAAGGCGACGAUCCGUAGCUGGUCUGAGAGGAUGAUCAGCCACACUGGAACUGAGACACGGUCCAGACUCCUACGGGAGGCAGCAGUAGGGAAUAUUGGACAAUGGGCGCAAGCCUGAUCCAGCCAUGCCGCGUGAGUGAAGAAGGCCCUCGGGUUGUAAAGCUCUUUUGUCCGGAAAGAAAAGCGCCGGGUUAAUACCCUGGUGUCCUGACGGUACCGGAAGAAUAAGCACCGGCUAACUUCGUG
rnacentral:rRNA from 1 species